rnacentral:rRNA from 1 species
UACGUAGGGGGGCAAGCGUUGUCCGGAAUCAUUGGGCGUAAAGAGCUCGUAGGCGGUUUGUCGCGUCGACUGUGAAAACCCGGGGCUUAACUUCGGGCUUGCGGUUGAUACGGGCGGGCUGGAGUUCGGUAGGGGAGACUGGAAUUCCUGGUGUAGCGGUGAAAUGCGCAGAUAUCAGGAGGAACACCGGUGGCGAAGGCGGGUCUCUGGGCCGAUACUGACGCUGAGGAGCGAAAGCGUGGGGAGCGAACAGG